AGCUCCAAUAGCGUAUAUUAAAGUUGUUGCAGUUAGAACGCUCGUAGUCGGAUUUCGGGGCGGGCCGACCGGUCUGCCGAUGGGUACGCACUGGUCGGCGCGUCCUUCCUUCCGGAGACCGUGCCUACUCUUAACUGAGCGGGGGCGGGAGACGGAUCGUUUACUUUGAAAAAAUCAGAGUGUUUCAAGCAGGCAGCUCGCUCUUGCAUGGAUUAGCAUGGGAUAAUGAAAUAGGACUCUGGUGCUAUUUUGUUGGUUUCGAACACCGGAGUAAUGAUUAACAGGGACAGUCAGGGGCACUCGUAUUCCGUCGAGAGAGGUGAAAUUCUCAGACCAAUGGAAGACGAACCACUGCGAAAGCAUUUGCCAGGGAUGUUUUCACUG
rnacentral:rRNA from 1 species